UUACGGCCAUAUCCCGUUGAAACACCAGUUCUCGUCUGAUCACCGAAGUUAAGCAACGUUGAACCUGGUCAGUACCUAUAUGGGUGACCGCUGGGGAAUACCAGAUGCUGUAAG